GACGAACGCUGGCGGCGUGCUUAACACAUGCAAGUCGAACGGAAAGGCCCUGCUUUUGUGGGGUGCUCGAGUGGCGAACGGGUGAGUAACACGUGAGUAACCUGCCCUUGACUUUGGGAUAACUUCAGGAAACUGGGGCUAAUACCGGAUAGGAGCUCCUGCUGCAUGGUGGGGGUUGGAAAGUUUCGGCGGUUGGGGAUGGACUCGCGGCUUAUCAGCUUGUUGGUGGGGUAGUGGCUUACCAAGGCUUUGACGGGUAGCCGGCCUGAGAGGGUGACCGGCAAAAUUGGGACUGAGAUACGGCCCAGACUCCUAGGGGAGGAAGCAGUGGGGAAUAUGGAACAAUGGCGGAAGCCUGAUGCAGCAACGCCGCGUGCGGGAUGACGGCCUUCGGGUUGUAAACCGCUUUCGCCUGUGACGAAGCGUGAGUGACGGUAAUGGGUAAAGAAGCACCGGCUAACUACGUG
rnacentral:rRNA from 1 species